UACGUAGGGUGCGAGCGUUACUCGGAAUUACUGGGCGUAAAGCGUGCGUAGGCGGUCCCGCAAGUCCGCUGUGAAAGCCCCGAGCUUAACUUGGGAACUGCAGUGGAAACUAUGGGACUUGAAUCCGGCAGAGGGGGGUGGAAUGCCACGUGUAGCAGUGAAAUGCGUAGAGAUGUGGCGGAACACCAAUGGCGAAGGCAGCUCGCUGGGACGGUACUGACGCUGAGACGCGAAAGCGUGGGGAGCAAACAGG
rnacentral:rRNA from 1 species